rnacentral:rRNA from 1 species
UACGGGGGGGGCAAGCGUUGUUCGGAAUUACUGGGCGUAAAGGGCUCGUAGGCGGCCAACUAAGUCGGACGUGAAAUCCCCAGGCUCAACCUGGGAACUGCGUCCGAUACUGGAUGGCUUGAAUCCGGGAGAGGGAUGUAGAAUUCCAGGUGUAGCGGUGAAAUGCGUAGAUAUCUGGAGGAAUACCGGUGGCGAAGGCGGCAUCCUGGACCGGCAUUGACGCUGAGGAGCGAAAGCCAGGGGAGCAAACGGG